CCCGAGUGGUUAAGGGGGUGGACUUAAGAUCCACUGGACAUGGUCCGCGUGGGUUCGAACCCCAC